UGCAAGUCGAACGGAAAGGCCCCUUCGGGGGUACUCGAGUGGCGAACGGGUGAGUAACACGUGGGCAAUCUGCCCUGCACUUCGGGAUAAGCCUGGGAAACUGGGUCUAAUACCGGAUAGGACCUUUAGGCGCAUGUCUUUAGGUGGAAAGCUUUUGCGGUGUGGGAUGGGCCCGCGGCCUAUCAGCUUGUUGGUGGGGUGAUGGCCUACCAAGGCGACGACGGGUAGCCGGCCUGAGAGGGUGUCCGGCCACACUGGGACUGAGAUACGGCCCAGACUCCUACGGGAGGCAGCAGUGGGGAAUAUUGCACAAUGGGCGCAAGCCUGAUGCAGCGACGCCGCGUGGGGGAUGACGGCCUUCGGGUUGUAAACCUCUUUCACCAUCGACGAAGGUUCGGGUUUUCUCGGAUUGACGGUAGGUGGAGAAGAAGCACCGGCCAACUACGUGCCAGCAGCCGCGGUAAUACGUAGGGUGCGAGCGUUGUCCGGAAUUACUGGGCGUAAAGAGCUCGUAGGUGGUUUGUCGCGUUGUUCGUGAAAUCUCACGGCUUAACUGUGAGCGUGCGGGCGAUACGGGCAGACUAGAGUACUGCAGGGGAGACUGGAAUUCCUGGUGUAGCGGUGGAAUGCGCAGAUAUCANGAGGAACACCGGUGGCGAAGGCGGGUCUCUGGGCAGUAACUGACGCUGAGGAGCGAAAGCGUGGGAGCGAACAGGAUUAGAUACCCUGGUAGUCCACGCCGUAAACGGUGGGUACUAGGUGUGGGUUUCCUUCCUUGGGAUCCGUGCNGUAGCUUAAC
rnacentral:rRNA from 2 species